UUAAAUUAGAUUUGGAAUUUAUCAAUCUGAAUAUGGCAAUAUGGCAAUUUAAAUGUGCAAUUCCGAUUAUGGAUGGAAAUCGAAUGGACUAUUGAAUCAAUUUUCGUUAUAUGGCCGAUUAAAUGCAUCUUUUUAUGGUAUCAAGAUCAAGAUCAAUUUUCGUUAUUAUGUUCAAUAUAUAAUUGAAACAUAGGAAUAACAAUCAUUCUUUACUGCAUAUUGUUCCAGCAAUCAAGAAUCAUUCUUCAAUCGGCUACUUCAAUCGUUCUUGACAAUGGCAGAAAGAAAGAUCACUUUCAUUAGAGACUUGGACAAUAUGAAGGAUGAUUACACACUAAAAGUGUCUAUCAUCCGGCUGUGGAAAUCGCUUUCAGAUGGCAACCCCACUAUUGUCAGAUCAAUUGAGAUGAUACUCAUGGAUGAAAUGGUAAAAUCUACUAUUUUAAUACCAUUAUUCAAAACCAUUUUUUUUAUUUGAUCAUUCCAAUAAUAUUAUUCAAACUCAAUCAUUGAAGAUGUUAUCUUCAAUGUUGACCAAUUUAUAUUUAUUAAAAAUUCCCUUUUUAACAUUAUAUAAUAUUCUUACCCUAUGUGAAUAGUGUACAAAAAUCCGAGCAAGUGUGUAUCCAAGAGAUUUUCAAAGGUUUGAGUCCAAAUUGAAAGAAGAUCAAGUUGUUUACAUCCGGUCCCCCACUAUCGCUCCUAACAAAUACACUUUUAAAAUAAGUGAUGUAACCUCCAAGUUAAAUUUGCAUGGAAGAACAACUGUUAACGAGUGUCUACACUUUCAAUCCAAAACAACAUAUGGAUUUUCUUUUGUUUCUUUUGAAACAAUUAUCUCUGCAACAGCUACAUCUAAUGAAUCAAUUGAUAUUAUUGGUGAAGUUGUUUCAUUAGGAAAGCUUGAUUCCCGUGAUGUCAGCAAAUCUCUACAUAGGCUGCCUUUACAAAUAAGAAACUUAGAGUAACCAAAACUUUUUUUAUAUUAUAUCUUAUAUCUUAUAUCUUAUAUCUUAUAUCUUAUAUAUUACAUUCAUUACUUUACAACUUGCAUGUAGA